rnacentral:lncRNA from 1 species
CUUUCAGGUGCAAAUCAAAGUCAGGCAUGGAGAUCUUGGGGGCUUUGAUGUUCAUCUCAGGCAUCUUGAAUUUGGGACCUUUCAACUUUCCCUCUGGGCCUUCGAUAUUCACAUCUGGAACAUCAAUGUCCACCUUGGGUCCUGAGACAUCAAGGUCAGCCUUGGGCAGGUUCACAUCCACUUCUCGGCCCUCUCCUUUGAAGCCAGGCAUGCUAAACUUGGGCAUUUUCAUCUUGGGCAUCUUCAGGUGCCAGUCUGGGCCUUGAACCUCCACAUCUGGGGCAUCAAUGUCCAUUUUGGGUCCUUUGAUUUCAACAUCUGGCACUUUCAUUUCACCUUCUACCUUGGGCACAGACACAUCCACAUCUGGGGCAUCAAUGUCC